AUGAACGCUGGCGGCGUGCCUAAUACAUGCAAGUCGAGCGAACAGAUGAGGAGCUUGCUCCUCUGACGUUAGCGGCGGCCGGGUGAGUAACCCGUGGAUAACCUACCUAUAAGACUGGGAUAACUUCGGGAAACCGGAGCUAAUACCGGAUAAUAUAUUGAACCGCAUGGUUCAAUAGUAAAAGACGGUUUUGCUGUCACUUAUAGAUGGAUCCGCGCCGCAUUAGCUAGUUGGUAAGGUAACGGCUUACCAAGGCAACGAUGCGUAGCCGACCUGAGAGGGUGGUCGGCCACACUGGAACUGAGACACGGUCCAGACUCCUACGAGAGGCAGCAGUAGGGAAUCUUCCGCAAAGGGCGAAAGCCUGACGGAGCAACGCCGCGUGAGUGAUGAAGGUCUUCGGAUCGUAAAACUCUGUUAUUAGGGAAGAACAAAUGUGUAAGUAACUAUGCACGUCUUGACGGUACCUAAUCAGAAAGCCACGGCUAACUACGUG
rnacentral:rRNA from 1 species